UGUGGGAGCGAGCCUGCUCGCGAUAGCGGUGUGUCAGUCAAUAUCAACGUUGAAUGUACUGACGCCAUCGCGAGCAGGCUCGCUCCCACA
rnacentral:misc_RNA from 1 species